rnacentral:lncRNA from 1 species
CCCCUCAGAUGGUUUUCACAUAUCCCCUCAUGUACUUCUCGAAGUACAUAGUCAACUUCAUAUGAUGAUAAGCAUUGAAGUAAAGGAGGAGAAUAAGACUUUUUAUAUAAGCGUUCUUCUUGAAGAACAUACCAUGAAGUUUAUUUUUUAAUGCUUCUGGCCUUAGUUGGAUCAUUGGACAAAACUUUUUUAGAUAUAUAAUCCACAA